CCUACGGGUGGCAGCAGUGCGGAAUAUUGGUCAAUGGACGAGAGUCUGAACCAGCCAAGUAGCGUGAAGGAUGACUGCCCUAUGGGUUGUAAACUUCUUUUAUAUGGGAAUAAAAUGUUCCACGUGUGGGCUUUUGUAUGUACCAUAUGAAUAAGGAUCGGCUAACUCCGUGCCAGCCGCCGCGGUAAUACGGAGGAUCCGAGCGUUAUCCGGAUUUAUUGGGGUUAAAGGGAGCGUAGGUGGAUUGUUAAGUCAGUUGUGAAAGUUUGCGGCUCAACCGUAAAAUUGCAGUUGAAACUGGCAGUCUUGAGUACAGUAGAGGUGGGCGGAAUUCGUGGUGUAGCGGUGAAAUGCUUAGAUAUCACGAAGAACUCCGAUUGCGAAGGCAGCUCACUGGACUGCAACUGACACUGAGGCUCGAAAGUGUGGGUAUCAAACAGGAUUAGAUACCCUUGUAGUC
rnacentral:rRNA from 1 species